CAGGCCGGUCGGGCGAUCGCGGCCUCGCGCGAGCGGGGUCGAGGAAAGUCCGCACUCCACAGGGCGCGGCGUCGGAUAACCUCCGGGGCGGGGAUCAAAACCCGCCGGACCGGGCCACAGAAACAGACUGCCAUCCCCUCCCCAACCCUCCCCCAAAUCCGCAGAAUUUGGGGGAGGGAGGGGCGGGGGUGGCGAUGGUGAAAAGGCGGCGUAAGAGACCACCGGCGUCCGCAGUAAUGCGGGCGGCCAGGCAACCCCCGCCGGGAGCAAGGCCAAGCAGGGACGACCCGUCUUCGGACGGGAGGAGGCGGCCCGUCUCCUCAUCAGUCCUGGGUAGGCCGCUGGAGCGGCGCGGCGACGCGCCGCCUAGAGAGAUGAUCGCCCAGACAGGGUGCAAUCCCCUCGUCGGACAGAAUGCGGCUUAUAGACCGGCCGAGGCG
rnacentral:RNase_P_RNA from 1 species